rnacentral:rRNA from 1 species
CACGUAGGGCGCAAGCGUUGUCCGGAAUUAUUGGGCGUAAAGAGCUCGUAGGCGGUCUGUUGCGUCCGCUGUGAAAACUCGGGGCUUAACCCCGAGCCUGCAGUGGAUACGGGCAGACUAGAGGUAGGUAGGGGAGAAUGGAAUUCCCGGUGUAGCGGUGAAAUGCGCAGAUAUCGGGAGGAACACCGGUGGCGAAGGCGGCUAUCUGGACGGUUUCUGACGCUAAGACGCGAAAGCGUGGGGAGCAAACAGG